rnacentral:rRNA from 1 species
UUUAAUUCGAUGAUACGCGAGGAACCUUACCUGGGCUAGAAUGCUAGUGGACCGGCUGUGAAAGCAGUCUUCCCCGCAAGGGGCCGCUAGUAAGGUGCUGCAUGGCUGUCGUCAGCUCGUGCCGUGAGGUGUUGGGUUAAGUCCCGCAACGAGCGCAACCCCCAUCAGUAGUUGCCAUCAGGUAACGCUGGGAACUCUACUGAAACUGCCGUCGUAAGACGCGAGGAAGGAGGGGAUGAUGUCAAGUCAUCAUGGCCUUUAUGCCCAGGGCUACACACGUGCUACAAUGGGACGGACAAAGGGCUGCCACUUGGCAAUAAGGAGCCAAUCCCAAAAACCGUCUCUCAGUUCAGAUUGGAGUCUGCAACUCGACUCCAUGAAGCUGGAAUCGCUAGUAAUCGUAUAUCAGCAAUGAUA